GAUGAACGCUGGCUGUGUGCCUAAUACAUGCAUGUCGAGCGAAGUGAUUUAUCACUUAGCGGCGAAUGGGUGAGUAGCACGUACUCAACGUACCCUUCAGCUUGGCAUAGCGGUUGGAAACGAACCGAUAAUUCCAAAUACUCGUAGAUGCCGCAUGGCGAUUUACGGAAAGUACGCCUUAAAGCGUCGCUGGAGGAGCGGGGUGCGCAACAUUAGCUAGUUGGUGAGGUAACGGCCCACCAAGGCGAUGAUGUUUAGCGGGUUGAGAGACUGAUCCGCCACACUGGGACUGAGAUACGGCCCAG
rnacentral:rRNA from 1 species